CCUACGGGAGGCAGCAGUGAGGAAUAUUGGUCAAUGGACGAGAGUCUGAACCAGCCAAGUCGCGUGAAGGAUGACUGCCCUAUGGGUUGUAAACUUCUUUUAUAUGGGAAUAAAACGUUCCACGUGUGGGAUUUUGUAUGUACCAUAUGAAUAAGGAUCGGCUAACUCCGUGCCAGCAGCCGCGGUAAUACGGAGGAUCCGAGCGUUAUCCGGAUUUAUUGGGUUUAAAGGGUGCGUAGGUGGAUUGUUAAGUCAGUGGUGAAAGUUUGGGGCUCAACCGCAAAAUGGCCGUUGAAACUGGUAGUCUUGAGUGCAGUAGAGGUGGGCGGAAUGCGUGGUGUAGCGGUGAAAUGCUGAGAUAUCACGAAGAACUCCGAUUGCGAAGGCAGCUCACCGGACUGCAACUGACACUGAGGCUCGAAAGUGUGGGUAUCAAACAGGAUUAGAUACCCCAGUAGUC
rnacentral:rRNA from 1 species